rnacentral:rRNA from 1 species
AACGAACGCUGGCGGCACGCUUUAAGCAUGCAAGUCGAGGGGCAGCAAUGUAGCAAUACAGUUGGCGACCGGCGCACGGGUGAGUAACACGUAAGGAUCUGCCUAAAGGUCUAGGAUAGCCAAUGGAAACAUUGGGUAAUACUGGAUGGUACCGAGAGGUUAAAGCUAAGCAAUUAGUGCCUUUGGAUGAACUUGCGGUUCAUUAGCUAGUUGGUGAGGUAAGAGCUUACCAAGGCGACGAUGGAUAGCCGGCCUGAGAGGGUGAACGGCCACAAUGGAACUGAGACACGGUCCAUACUCCUACGGGAGGCAGCAGCUAGGAAUCUUCCGCAAUGGGCGAGAGCCUGACGGAGCGAUGCCGCGUGAACGAAGAAGGCAGAAAUGUUGUAAAGUUCUUUUAUAAGGGAAGAAUAAUGGUGCAGGGAAUGGCAUACAGAUGACGGUACCUACAGAAAAAGACAACGGCUAACUACGUGCCAGCAGCCG